rnacentral:rRNA from 1 species
CAGCAGCCGCGGUAAUACAGAGGGUGCAAGCGUUAAUCGGAAUUACUGGGCGUAAAGCGCGCGUAGGUGGUUUGUUAAGUUGGAUGUGAAAUCCCCGGGCUCAACCUGGGAACUGCAUCCAAAACUGGCAAGCUAGAGUAUGGUAGAGGGUGGUGGAAUUUCCUGUGUAGCGGUGAAAUGCGUAGAUAUAGGAAGGAACACCAGUGGCGAAGGCGACCACCUGGACUGAUACUGACACUGAGGUGCGAAAGCGUGGGGAGCAAACAGGAUUAGAGACCCGAGUAGUCCCUGUCUCUUAUAC